AGAUUGAACGCUUAGCGGCAUGCCUAACACAUGCAAGUCGAACGGGUAACAGGCCCUUCGGGUGCUGACGAGUGGCGGACGGUGAGUAAUGCGUAGGAAUCUACCCACGAGUGGGGGAUAGCCCGGAGAAAUCCGGAUUAAUUACCGCAUAUAGCCCUACGGGUAAAGCGGGGAUCGUAAGACCUCGCGCUGGUGGAAUGAAGCCUACGUCCGAUUAGGUUAGUUGGGUGGGGUAACGGCCCUACCG
rnacentral:rRNA from 1 species